rnacentral:rRNA from 1 species
GAUGAACGCUGGCGGCGUGCCUAAUACAUGCAAGUCGAGCGAACAGACCAGGAGCUUGCUCCUCUGAGGUUAUCGCCGGACGGGUGCGGAACACGUGGAUAACCUACCUAUAAGACUGGGAUAACUUCGGGAAACCGUAUCUAAUACCGGAUAAUAUAUUGAACCGCAUUGGUCAAGAGUUAAAUACGGUUUUUCUUUCACUUAUAGAUUGAUCCGCCCCGCAUUCAGUAGUUGGUAAGGUAAAGGCUUAGCAAGGCAAGGAUGGUAAGCCGCCCCCAGCGGGUGGUUGGCCAAACUGGAACUGAGACACGGCAGACACACUUGCGGGGGGAAGCAGUCGGGAAUCCUACGGGAGGGGGGAAAGGGGGAUGGAGGAAAGUGGGGGGAGGCAUGAAGGUCUUCGGAUCGUAGAACUCUGUUAUUCGGGAAGAACAAAUGUGUAAGUAACUGUGAACAUCUUGACGGUACCGAAUCAGAAAGCCACGGCUAACUACGUG